UGCCAGCCGCCGCGGUAAUACGGAGGGUGCAAGCGUUAAUCGGAAUUACUGGGCGUAAAGCGUACGUAGGCGGUUGCUUAAGUCAGCUGUGAAAGCCCCGGGCUCAACCUGGGAACUGCAGCUGAUACUGGGCGACUAGAGUAUGGGAGAGGGUAGUGGAAUUCCAGGUGUAGCGGUGAAAUGCGUAGAUAUCUGGAGGAACACCGGUGGCGAAGGCGGCUGCCUGGCCCAAAACUGACGCUGAGGUACGAAAGCGUGGGGAGCAAACAGGAUUAGAUA
rnacentral:rRNA from 1 species